rnacentral:rRNA from 1 species
UACAGAGGGGGCAAGCGUUGUUCGGAAUUACUGGGCGUAAAGGGCGCGUAGGCGGCCUGUUAAGUCGAACGUGAAAUCCCCGGGCUCAACCCGGGAACUGCGUCCGAUACUGGCAGGCUUGAAUCCGGGAGAGGGAUGCGGAAUUUCAGGUGUAGCGGUGAAAUGCGUAGAUAUCUGGAGGAACACCGGUGGCGAAGGCGGCAUCCUGGACCGGUAUUGACGCUGAGGCGCGAAAGCGUGGGGAGCAAACAGG